GAUGAAGAACGUAGUGAAAUGCGAUAAGUAAUGUGAAUUGCAGAAUUCAGUGAAUCAUCGAAUCUUUGAACGCACAUUGCGCCCCCUGGUAUUCCGGGGGGCAUGCCUGUUCGAGCGUCAUUUCACCACUCAAGCCUCGCUUGGUAUUGGGCAACGCGGUCCGCCGCGUGCCUCAAAUCGACCGGCUGGGUCUUCUGUCCCCUAAGCGUUGUGGAAACUAUUCGCUAAAGGGUGUUCGGGAGGCUACGCCGUAAAACAACCCCAUUUCUAAGGUUGACCUCGGAUCAGGUAGGGAUACCCGCUGAACUUAAGCAUAUCAAUAACGGAGG
rnacentral:misc_RNA from 1 species